rnacentral:rRNA from 1 species
CCUACGGGCGGCUGCAGUGAGGAAUAUUGGUCAAUGGGCGAGAGCCUGAACCCGCCAAGUCGCGUGCAGGAUGACGGCCCUACGGGUUGUAAACUUCUUUUGUCAGGGAGCAAUUGGGUCCACGCGUGGGCUUAGCGAGAGUCCCUGAAGACAACGCAUCGGCUAACUCCGUGCCAGCAGCCGCGGUAAUACGGAGGAUGGGAGCGUUAUCCGGUUUUAGUGGGUUUAACGGUUGCGUAGGCGGAAGAUCAAGUCAGCGGUAAAACUGCGGGGCGCAACCCCGUCGUGCCGUUGAAACUGAUGGUCUUGAGUGGGCGAGAAGUAUGCGGAAUGCGUGGUGUAGCGGUGAAAUGCAUAGAUAUCACGCAGAACUCCGAUUGCGAAGGCAGCAUACCGGCGCCCAACUGACGCUGAAGCACGAAAGCGUGGGUAUCGAACAGGAUUAGAUACCCUGGUAGUC